rnacentral:lncRNA from 1 species
GCUGCUUGCUGGUGUCGGGUGACCCGGGAGCUGGGAGAGGGAAAGGGAUUAACGCUGGGGCGGGGGCAGCGUGGGAGACGCCUCGCAGAGGGAUUGCUCUACCGGCGUCCUACCUUUCAGGAUCCUGACUUCCUCCAAGGUUGGGGGUUGGGGAGUAGGGUUCCCAGUGGUCACCUGGGCAGCCUGCUGUCCCUGGGAAACAGCUGACCAGAUGUGCCGGGAUCAGCAGUUGAGAGCCUGACUCGGGGAUGGAGAGCCCGGAGGACAAGCAGGCUGGGACACAGAACCCAUCUUUGCUGAGAGCCCAGGCCCAAUACAUCCGGAAACUUGCCCACAGCCCUGCAGCUCCCCUGGUAGACAAGGCAGGUGACCAUCUCCUGCCCCAGGGGGGUCUCCUCGCAGGGCGGCCCUCAGAGAGCAA